UCAGGGAAAAUUGAAGAUCAAAAAGAAAGUGACAACAAAAGUCAACAAAACCCUUUAUAUGUCAACGAUGAAACCUACGAAGUACUUCAGGUUAACAAAGACCGCACAUAAAUCAAUGGCAAGGCAUCUCAGAGCAGAAAAAAAAUGACUCGAACAGGUUUUAUGGUACAAAAAA